UUACGGUCACAUCUCGUUGAAACACCGAUUCCCGUAUGAUGACCAUGGUUAAGCAACAUCGAGCUUGUUCAGUACCGAGAUCGGUGACCGUUUGAGAAUACCAGGUGCUA